rnacentral:rRNA from 1 species
AGUGAACGCUGGCGGUAGGCCUAACACAUGCAAGUCGAACGGCAGCACAGUAAGAGCUUGCUCUUACGGGUGGCGAGUGGCGGACGGGUGAGGAAUACAUCGGAAUCUACUUUUUCUUGGGGGAUAACGUAGGGAAACUUACGCUAAUACCGCAUACGACCUACUGGUGAAAGCAGGGGAUCUUCGGACCUUGCGCGAUUGAAUGAGCCGAUGUCGGAUUAGCUAGUUGGCGGGGUAAAGGCCCACCAAAGCGACGAUCCGUAGCUGGUCUGAGAGGAUGAUCAGCCACACUGGAACUGAGACACGGUCCAGACUCCUACGGGAGGCAGCAGUGGGGAAUAUUGGACAAUGGGCGCAAGCCUGAUCCAGCCAUACCGCGUGGGUGAAGAAGGCCUUCGGGUUGUAAAGCCCUUUUGUUGGGAAAGAAAAGCAGCAGGUUAAUACCCCGCUGUUCUGACGGUACCCAAAGAAUAAGCACCGGCUAACCUCGUG